AUUGCAGGCUGCAACUCGCCUGCAUGAAGCUGGAAUCGCUAGUAAUCGCGGGUCAGCAUACCGCGGUGAAUGUGUUCCUGAGCCUUGUACACACCGCCCGUCAAGCCACGAGAAUUGGGGGGGCCCGAAGUCGCUGAGCUAACCGUAAGGAAGCAGGCGCCGAAGGUCAACUUGAUGAUUGGGACUAAGUCGUAACAAGGUAGCCGUAGGGGAACCUGCGGCUGGAUCACCUCCUUU
rnacentral:rRNA from 1 species